rnacentral:rRNA from 1 species
GACAGAGGGUGCAAACGUUGUUCGGAUUUACUGGGCGUAAAGCGCGUGUAGGCGGCUUUGCAAGUCGGAUGUGAAAGCCCACGGCUCAACCGUGGAAGUGCAUCCGAAACUGCAUGGCUGGAGUCUCGGAGAGGAAGGUGGAAUGCUUGGUGUAGAGGUGAAAUUCGUAGAUAUCAAGCAGAACACCUGCGGCGAAGGCGGCCUCUGGACGGAUGACUGACGCUGAGACGCGAAAGCGUGGGGAGCAAACAGG